rnacentral:rRNA from 1 species
CUUGACAAAAUAUAAGAGGUCCAGCCUGCCCAGUGACCUAGUUCAACGGCCGCGGUAUCCUAACCGUGCGAAGGUAGCGUAAUCACUUGUUCUUUAAAUGAGGACUAGUAUGAAUGGCACCACGAGGGUUAAACUGUCUCCUUUUUCUAAUCAGUGAAACUAAUCUCUCCGUGAAGAAGCGGGGAUUAUUUUAUAAGACGAGAAGACCCUAUGGAGCUUAAAACAAAUUAACACCUACUUCUACUCAGUUCACUUCCUGAAUAAACACAUAAAGUAUAGUACCACUGAUUAAUAGUUUUCGAUUGGGGUGAUCAUGGAGUAAAAAAUAGCCUCCACGACGAAAAGGAACACCUCCCUGAGCCAAAAGCUACAACUUUAAGCACUAAAAAAUUAACGCACCUUGACCCAAAUUUUUGAACAACGAAC